AAAACAUGUCUUUUUGAUAAAAAUUUAAAGUCAGGUCUGCUCACUGAAUUAUUUUAAAGAGCCGCAGUAUAUUGACUGUGCAAAGGUAGCAUAAUCAAUAGUUUUUUAAUUGGAAACUAGAAUGAAAGAUUAGACGAAAAAUUAAUUUUCUUUGUUUUAAUAAAUUUAAUUUUAAAUUUAAGUGAAAAUGCUUAAAUAAAAUUAAAAGACGAGAAGACCCUAUAGAUUUUUAUUAUUGAAAUAAAUUUUUAAAUUUAAUUUAAUAAAAUAAUUUAAUUGGGGCGAUUUUAUAAUAUAAAUAACUUAAUUUUUUAAAACCAUAAAUAAUUGAAUAUUUGAUCUAAAAUUUUUAAAGAAAAGAUUAAAUUACCUUAGGGAUAACAGCGUAAUUUUAUUUAAGAGUUCAUAUCUAUAAUAAAGUUUGCGACCUCGAUGUUGAAUUAAGAUAAUAUAUUGGAGUAGAAAUUAAUAUAAUUAGUCUGUUCGACUAUUAAAUUCUUACRUGAUCUG
rnacentral:rRNA from 1 species